UCUUUCUUCAGGAACCAUAGUCUCGUGGAUUAACCACAAAGGCACUCGUCCGACCACAAUCACGCGGCGCGUGAGCCAUUAACGCCAGUCUCUUGAGAAUUCCGUGGAAUGCGUCUCUACAAUAGUUUAAUUUCAACCUCAACUGACCUCGGAUCAGGUAGUGAUCCCCGAUGAAUUUAAGCAUAUCAAUAAGCGGAGGAAAAGAAACCAUCAGGGAUUGCCUCAGUAACGGCGAGUGAAGCGGCAACAGCUCAAAUUUGAAAUCUGGCCCUUUCAGGGUCCGAGUUGUAAUUUGCAGAGGGUGCUUUGGCGUUGGCCGUGGUUUAAGUUCCUUGGAACAGGACGUCACAGAGGGUGAGAAUCCCGUACGUGGCCGCCGGUCUUCGCCGUGUAAAGCCCCUUCGACGAGUCGAGUUGUUUGGGAAUGCAGCUCUAAAUGGGAGAUACAUUUCUUCUAAAGCUAAAUAUUGGCCAGAGACCGAUAGCGCACAAGUAGAGUGAUCGAAAGAUGAAAAGCACUUUGGAAAGAGAGUCAAAAAGCACGUGAAAUUGUUGAAAGGGAAGCGCUUGCAGCCAGACGUGCCCGCAGUUGCUCACCCAGGCUCUUGCCUGGGGCACUCUUCUGCGGGCAGGCCAGCAUCAGUUCGGGCGGUUGGAUAAAGGUCUCUAUCACGUACCACCCUUCGGGGUGUCCUUAUAGGGGAGACGCAACACGGCCAGCCUGAACUGAGGACCGCGCAUCAGCUAGGAUGCUGGCGUAAUGGCUGUAAGCGGCCCGUCUUGAAACACGGACCAAGGAGUCUAACAUCUAUGCGAGUGUUUGGGUGUAAAGCCCGGGCGCGCAAUGAAAGUGAACGGAGGUGGGAACCCUUUGGGUGCACCAUCGACCGAUCCUGAAGUCUUCGGAUGGAUUUGAGUAAGAGCAUAGCUGUUGGGACCCGAAAGAUGGUGAACUAUGCCUGAAUAGGGUGAAGCCAGGGGAAACUCUGGUGGAGGCUCGCAGCGGUUCUGACGUGCAAAUCGAUCGUCUAAAUUUGGGCAUAGGGCGACCGAGCGAUCCUAUCCUUACUGAUGGGGC
rnacentral:rRNA from 1 species